rnacentral:rRNA from 1 species
AGUGAACGCUGGCGGCGUGCCUAACACAUGCAAGUCGAACGAUGAUGGAGAGCUUGCUCUCCUGAUUAGUGGCGCACGGGUGAGUAUACCAUAGAUAAUGUACCUCUUAGUUCGGGAUAGCCACUGGAAACGGUGAUUAAUACCGGAUACUCCUUCUUGUCUUAAGACAAGUCGGGAAAGUUUUUUCGCUAAGAGAUCAGUCUAUGUCCUAUCAGCUAGUUGGUGAGGUAAUGGCUCACCAAGGCUAUGACGGGUAUCUGGUUUGAGAGGAUGAUCAGACACACUGGAACUGAGACACGGUCCAGACUCCUACGGGAGGCAGCAGUGAGGAAUAUUGCACAAUGGAGGAAACUCUGAUGCAGCAACGCCGCGUGGAGGAUGACGCAUUUCGGUGUGUAAACUCCUUUUAAGAGGGAAGAUAAUGACGGUACCUCUUGAAUAAGCACCGGCUAACUCCGUGCCAGCCGCCGCGGUAA